UACGUAGGGUGCAAGCGUUGUCCGGAAUUUAUUGGGCGUAAAGCGCGCGCAGGCGGUUUCUUAAGUCUGAUGUGAAAGCCCACGGCUCAACCGUGGAGGGUCAUUGGAAACUGGGAGACUUGAGUGCAGAAGAGAAGAGCGGAAUUCCACGUGUAGCGGUGAAAUGCGUAGAGAUGUGGAGGAACACCAGUGGCGAAGGCGGCUCUUUGGUCUGUAACUGACGCUGGAGGCGCGAAAAGCGUGGGGGAGC
rnacentral:rRNA from 1 species